rnacentral:rRNA from 1 species
GCAUCGAUGAAGAACGCAGCGAAAUGCGAUAAGUAAUGUGAAUUGCAGAAUUCAGUGAAUCAUCGAAUCUUUGAACGCACAUUGCGCCCCCUGGUAUUCCGGGGGGCAUGCCUGUUCGAGCGUCAUUUCACCACUCAAGCCUCGCUUGGUAUUGGGCGACGCGGUCCGCCGCGCGCCUCAAAUCGACCGGCUGGGUCUUUCGUCCCCUCAGCGUUGUGAAAACUAUUCGCUAAAGGGUGCCGCGGGAGGCCACGCCGUAAAACAACCCCAUUUCUAAGGUUGACCUCGGAUCAGGUAGGGAUACCCGCUGAACUUAAGCAUAUCAAUAAGCGGAGGA